AAAAAACAAAAAAUGAAAAAGAAAAAAAUUAAAUUAACUGCAAGACUAAAAAAAAUCACAGGGAGAAAGCCAUGAGUUCCGUGCUUUGCUUUCUCCUCCUCUGGAAUUCUGCUGCUCUCCUUGGUAUUGAAACCGGACUCCUUGGUAGGUGAACUUGGUCUCGGCUGGAUUUCUUGUUGAUCUUCUGGGGGAGGGGCCUGGUGUAGUGAUUCUCAAGUGUCUUUGCCCCAGGCGGAAUUGCACCGCCCUUACCAAGGGCCGGAGUGAGUAAUCCGCUCGGGUUUGCUUUCAGGAGCUUUUGUUCCCUGAGCGCUUUCCGUAGAGUUCCGGAGGACGGGAAUACAAAUGGCGGCCUCCCAGAGAACAGCGCCCAGUUACUCCCGUCUGCCUGACCUCCGGCCGCGCUCCGAGCUCACCGAGCCUGCGCCCGGUUCAAGGUAACCCUGGGCUGCGAGCUUACUGUCGGCUCUGUCUCUGUAGCCGGCUUUCCCGUUCCAAUACCCGCAAGCUCUGCGACACUCAGACACCCCCGAUCCUUCUGUGACCCUGCGGGACCUGAGGCCACGCUGAACCCACGCUGACCCCGCAUGGGCUUCGCCCCGGUUUAGCCUCUGGAGUGAUGUCCCUCAGCUGAACAGACUUUUAAAAGUCCUGAUUUUGUGCGCAGUUGCUCCGCCGCUUGCCGGGAGCCGGCCCCUCCCCCCGGGGUCUAUCUUCCCUGUCGCCUUGGAUUCACGUCUCCGCCAGUCCUACCUUUCAGAAAGUGGUUGUUUUUCUGUUUCCAGAAUUGCUGUUCUUCUUCUCUUCGAUCUGCCGAUGGAUUUGCAGGUGAGCAGGAACAAAACUGAAAAUGAUAAAGAUUGCUGUUGUUUUGGUUAUAUUCAAGGCAGUACAUUCUUCAAAGUAUGGUAUUUCUGGGAUUAAAAGUAAAGGUUGGAUAUAUUUCAGGCAAAGAUCAAGUAGGUAAGAAACUAAUGGUGUGCUCAACACAGUAAUGAGAAAUGGAUGGAUACUGGGAAGUAAUAACAGUCUCUGUCACCAGGGUGAGGAUAUUUUCUUGGACAACCAACAGAGGUAAGUAAUAAAAUACCACUAGGUGUCACUGGGGUAGGAGAAGAAAUAAAGAAGUUUAAGGAGAAGUUAAGUUGAAGCCUUAUCAUAAGUGCAUUAUUUAUGGAAAGAUGCAUAACAGCUUUUACAGAAAAGAUAACAUGACAUCAACAGUUCCCGAGAAGAGCAAAGUAGAGAGGAAAAGGAAUCUGGCUUCAGUAAUUCUGCAAACAGCUGCUGAGAUAAGUCAAGCCAGAAGAACUCCAGCUGCUGGUUCUGUGAGCAGUGCCAAAGGUUUCAUACUCCAAGUAUGUAUCAUAACUCCAGGAGAAUACCAACAUUUAAAAUAUGUAAUGAUGAGAAGCUGAAGUCAGAAUUAAAAGAAAGAGAAAGAUAUUCUAGUCCUUUUAGAGACAUUUACAUUAAACUUGAUAUUCAUUUCUAAUAUUUGUUGUGAUUUUAUAACUUGGGGCAAAUUACUUAAAAAUUACUGCUCCCUUAAUUUGAAUCUUUUAUACAAUGAGAAAAGGAAUAUAGGACCAGCAUAUUUUCUUUUAAAGAUUUUAUUUAUUUAUUUGAUAGAGAUCACAAGUAGGCAGAGAGGCAGGCAGAGAAAGAGAGGGAAGCAGGCUCUCCGCUGAACAGAGAGCCCGAUGCGGGGCUCUAUCCCAGGACCCUGAGAUCAUGACCUGAGCUGAAGGCAGAGGCUUUAACCCAUUGAGCCACCCAGGCGCCCCAGGACCAGCCUAUUUACAGGUUGUCUGUGAGUAUAAGAGCAGGUAUUCUAUACAAUAUAAAUUACUCUUCUAGAAUUAAUAUUAUCAAUUUUGUUCAUUAUUUUAUUAUAUAUUUAGAAGAGAAGAAUUAACUAUUUUUGUUAUUUUAAUAAAGAAAGAUUUCUUUUUGGAAAACAAUUUAUGUUUUGAAUCACAAAUAUCAUAAUCUUAGAACUCACAUAGUUGGAGCCAUUUGGAAUUCAUCUCCUGCGCCAUGGUUUUUUUCUUCCUUUUGGGAAGCUUGUUUCCUUAGCUAUUGUUUAAAUUUAAAAAAAAAAAAAAAAGGAUUUUGGAUGGAAUAAGUUUGCCAGUUUAACAAAAUAGCAUUUUUAUGCAAUAUAUCAGUAAAUUCCUCUAUGAAGGAGGCCUUCCUACCAAGAAUAUGCAUUCCAUUUUCAAAUAAGUUAGUGACACUUUCUUCAAAGCUUCUUUUCUAAGACUUACCCAAAGUUCAAAAGUCAUCUUCUCCUUUAUACCAACCUGCGAUAAGCGAGGUAUAACUACUCUGAAGUUGCUUUUGUGUUGUUGUUGUUUUUACUCAUAAAGGACCAGACUGUAGCCUUGGGUCCUUGGGUGCUUUGUGUUGCCAGGUUUGUCCAUUAUGUGUCAAUAUCAACAUGGUAAGACCAUGUUCUUACACUCUAUUAUGUGCUACACAUGUGUUGGGUAAGACGACCUGAUGAUUUCAUCCCCUCAUUUGACAGAAAGAAGAAAUAGAGAGUUUUCAUGAAUUACUCAGCAACAAAAAGUACGGUGGUGACAUACUUACACAAAUUAUCAUUUAUUUUAAUGAGGAGCUACUUUAAAGACUCCCUCAAAACUACUCCCGAGUUAUGUUUUUAAGAAAGAACCAAAAAUGCAAUCUUGUCAUUUUCCUUCUUAAAUACUCAAAAAAUCUUGGACCUACAGAAUCUAACUUCAAUUCAUCUACCAAACUAUAUCUACAUCAUUCAUUCAUUCAUGCAUUCAUGCAUUUAUUCAUUCAUUCAAUAUACAUUUAUUGAGAAGCAGGAGGCAUUGAGAUAGGUGACAGGAAUAGAGUAAAUGAUACAGAAACAUUUCCUGUUUUCAGGUCAGUUAAAAUUUAGUAGAUGAUAAAGACCUUAUGCAGAUCACAACUAUGUAAUCACAUAGGCUGAUUAGCUGAUUAGCUGAUCUUCCAGCUUUUUCCUACACACACCCUCAGCACCAGCUGUACAAGUCUUCCCACACAGUCCUCCAUCUUUCCCAUGCUUGCCCAUUUGUGUCAUAUGGCUUUGCAUUUGGUGCGUUGUGUUUUUCCUGUCUUGAAUAUCUAGUUCUCUUCUGGCAAACUCCUUCUCAUUCAUACUACUCAAUUAUUACCUUUCUGGAAGCUUCUCUACAAGAGCGAAUUGUUUGUUCUGAGGCCUCAGGGCAAUACAUAUCUUGGGUAUUGUGUUACUUUGCAGCCACCUUUUAAUAAGAGUGUUCUGUUCACUGCUUAAGAGCAAAGUUCUAACCUGCAUGGGUUUGAGUCUUGUCUGUGCUUUUUUCACUAUGCCCAUGAAUAAAUCAUUUAACUUCUCUGAUGAUCAGUUUCUUUAUGGUUAAAAUGUGGUUAUAAUAGCAUUUACCUCUGCAUGUUGGAACAAAGGAAUAAGUUAGUACCUGUAACAUAUUUCUACAGAGCUUAGAAAAUAUUAAAUGCUUCAUUAAUAUAAGUUUUUUAUAUUAUUAUCAGGCUUAAUUUCCUGAAUGACAGUAGUUUUCCAUAAAUGCAUGUUGAAAAUUUGAAAAUAUAACUUUGUCUACUGAACUUUAAAUAGAUUAAAAAAAAAACAACUAGAAACUAAAAUUAUGUCUAGGACUACCUACUCAAAUAUAAACAAGUAUCCAAUAAAAAUCAACAUUAUU